ensembl:lncRNA
AAAAAAAAAAAAAAAAAAAAAAAAAAAAAAAACAGAAUCCUGAAAAAUUAAAAUGGAAAAAGUGAAAUGUAUAAAUAAAUAUAUGCAUUAAUUACAUACAUAGAUGCAUACAUAAAUAAAACGAAUUUGGAAAAAAAAGGAUUUCAUAGGCGCUUACUCAUUGAGUAUACACGGAACAAGAACAUACAAAUUAAGAAAAAAUAGAGUUUGUUCUAAUCGAGUUUGUUUGUUUAUAUCAAAGCAGUAAAAACAGAUCAAAUUAAUAUUUUAAAUAAAUUAAUCAUAUAUUAAUCACAUAUAAAAAUAAUCAUAUCAGUCAUGUGUUUCUCUUUUAAUCUAAAAUAGGAAUUGUAUAAAAAAUGUGAUAAUAGAAAUGAUUAUCAUAGACAAAAACAAUCAUAUGUUCUGAUAAUUCGGUUCUCAUUUUUAUAUUGUUUUAGUAACAUUGAUAAGGUGCUAUCAGUUUAUCUUUUAUCCAUGAACAGGCUUCAUUUCCGUUCUCUCACAUCACUCAGUGAAGGGAUAUGGUUCAAGCUUGAAGUGUUGUUUUGAAGUUUUGACAAACCUCUCGGUUUCCUAUCAUCUCAAUGAGCCACCUGGAGCCUUCUGUACACCAACAUGGUCAGCAAUGGAAUACGUUGUGGUUGACGAACAUGGAAAUGUGGAUGACACAAAGGUAGUAUAUCUUGAACCCCAGAAGUUAAUCCUCAAACAAAACACAGAUGAGAAGGUCAGAGAGGUCACAUACCGAAAGGACUGUCAACGGCAUGCUUACACUGCCAGUUGUCAUGAUCCUUGUAAUGCUUUGGACCUGCCCAGAACCACUCCAGCCACUCAAGCAACUGGUGAUCAACGCAUUAUCUUUAUCACUGGUGGUGUCAUCAUCAUCAUCAUCAUCAUCAUCAUCCUCAUUAUAUGUGUCAUCUGUCUCAGAAGAAAGUGCCAAUCUUCAAAUGUUACUUUUAGGGGUCUUCAUUUAGUGUCCCACA